rnacentral:misc_RNA from 1 species
GAGAAAGUGAACCUGCUGGCCUGCUUCUGCAUAAGCUCUCCACCACUGUCUAGCCUGACCUCUGGCUGGAAAGUAGUGAAGUCCACUCAAUUGGACUCUAAAGACCCAUGUUAUGCAAUAUCUCCUAGCAACGGUCUAAGGAACUCCUGAGCAUCUCAAAUAAGUAUUCAACUGCCUGACGAAGCUGGAGAAGUUGUUGUGC